ACUGCAGUCUGAAAAUGUUGAAAGACGUCACUGAUAUCGCAUCCCGUGUCGGACAUCCACGUCGUUCCCCCCAUUCCAAGAAAAUCACAAUAGAACAAGAACCACGUAUGGUUGACGUUUGCACACAGUGUCUCUAAUGUAAUUUCCGAUGAUUAAGCCGCCCCCUCCCGACCAUGUGAGACAGACACAAGCAGUGGUACACACGACUGAAGGUGGAAGGGAGUGGGCAGAGGCGAAAAAGGCUACCAUCUGAGCACUGUUCAAGGCCUGGUAACAUCUGUUGCUGCCAUUUUUCGUUAAUUGUUGAUAGAAACUUUUUAGUGGAGGAAAUUUCCGUCCGGAAACAAAUUAAAACUGAAAUAUUUCCUUGCGGAUAUGAGGGCUGAGGGAUCGGCUUUAAUUAUUUGUUUGGGUAAGAAGGGAAUAUAAGUGGAGAGGGGGACGUUGUAAUUAAAUUUUACAUCGAGAACAUUAUUUCGAAAGCGAAAUUGACUCAAAGUGACAAACAAAUGAGUGGGAAUUACGGAAAUCGAGGUAUUGGUAAUAAUACGAAAAUGUUG